ACAUGCAAGUAGGACGCACAGUUUAUACCGUAGCUUGCUACACCAUAGACUGUGAGUUGCGAACGGGUGAGUAACGCGUAGGUAACCUGCCUAUUAGAGGGGGAUAACUAUUGGAAACGAUAGCUAAUACCGCAUAACAGUAUGUAACACAUGUUAGAUGCUUGAAAGAUGCAAUUGCAUCGCUAGUAGAUGGACCUGCGUUGUAUUAGCUAGUAGGUAGGGUAAAGGCCUACCUAGGCAACGAUACAUAGCCGACCUGAGAGGGUGAUCGGCCACACUGGGACUGAGACACGGCCCAGACUCCUACGGGAGGCAGCAGUAGGGAAUCUUCGGCAAUGGGGGGAACCCUGACCGAGCAACGCCGCGUGAGUGAAGAAGGUUUUCGGAUCGUAAAGCUCUGUUGUUAAGGAAGAACGAGUGUGAGAAUGGAAAGUUCAUGCUGUGACGGUACUUAACCAGAAAGGGACGGCUAACUACGUGCCAGCAGCCGCGGUAAUACGUAGGUCCCGAGCGUUGUCCGGAUUUAUUGGGCGUAAAGCGAGCGCAGGCGGUUAGAAAAGUCUGAAGUGAAAGGCAGUGGCUCAACCAUUGUAGGCUUUGGAAACUGUUUAACUUGAGUGCAGAAGGGGAGAGUGGAAUUCCAUGUGUAGCGGUGAAAUGCGUAGAUAUAUGGAGGAA
rnacentral:rRNA from 1 species